rnacentral:rRNA from 1 species
UUGAACGCUGGCGGCAUGCCUUACACAUGCAAGUCGAACGGUAACGGGCCUUCGGGUGCCGACGAGUGGCGAACGGGUGAGUAAUACAUCGGAACGUGCCCGAUCGUGGGGGAUAACGAGGCGAAAGCUUUGCCAAUACCGCAUACGAUCUACGGAUGAAAGCAGGGGACCGCAAGGCCUUGCGCGGACGGAGCGGCCGAUGGCAGAUUCGGUAGUUGGUGGGAUAAAAGCUUACCAAGCCGGCGAUCUGUAGCUGGUCUGAGAGGAUGAUCAGCCACACUGGGACUGAGACACGGCCCAGACUCCUACGGGAGGCAGCAGUGGGGAAUUUUGGACAAUGGGCGCAAGCCUGAUCCAGCCAUGCCGCGUGCAGGAUGAAGGCCUUCGGGUUGUAAACUGCUUUUGUACGGAACGAAAAGCCUUCUUUUAAUACAGGAGGGUCAUGACGGUACCGUAAGAAUAAGCACCGGCUAACUACGUG